rnacentral:lncRNA from 10 species
GUAAGUUUAUUCAACAGACAUAAAAUUACUCUGAGAAAUUGCUUACAAAAGUUUACAAAUGCUUUCAAGUUCUGUAGAAAUCUCAUUACAGACAGGUAGUAAACAGUUUGCAGGCAGGCCUUGGCCCAUGGACCACAUUUUCGGUAACCCUGGGCCAUAGGACACAGCCAUUCAAAAUAAUGUGCCUUCAUUUCAAACUUGUCAUCAUAUGAACAAUAUUAUUCAGCAGGUUUCCAAACUGAGGAUGCUGUGACUAAAAGUUAUCAUCUGUAAAGUGUGUUAAUAUUCUAUACACUAGUUUUGUGAAAUAUUUUAAAAUACCACAGAGAAGGAAAAGAAGGAAGGAGGAAAAAAUAAAAUUGGCGAUCCAUUUCAUAACUGCACCAAAAAUUAUUUGAAUAGGGCUUUUUCAUAAAAUAUCACAACCAAGUGUCAAAAUUCCACUGAGGAGGGAAUAAAAGAACACUAGGUUAAAUUUACCAGGUGAGAAUUUAGUGAGGUGCAGCAGUCCCCCUUUAUUCACAAGGGUUGCAUUUCAAGACUCCCAGUAGGUGCUUGCAGUGGGGGGAUAGUACCAAAUCCUAUAUAUACUAUUUUUUUCCAAUAUAUACAUACCUAGGAUAAAGUUUAAUUUAUAAAUUAGACACAGUAAGUGAUUAACAAUAAUUAAUAUUAAAAUAGAACAAUUAUAGCAAUUUACUGUAAUAAAAGUUAUUUGAAUGUGGUCUCUUUCUCUCUGUCUCUCUCUUUCAAAAUAUCUUAUGUUCAUAAAAAUAACCUACUGCGGUUGACCGUAACUGAAACUGCAGAAAGUGAAACCACAAAUAUGAGGGAGCUACUUUAUAAAUAAGAAUGUUCUUUACAACGAAAACUGUCAAGUACUUCAAUGUAAUAGCUGUCAUGCCAAGAAACCCUGCCUAGUAGCCUAGCAUCAUGAGACUUAACCUUGCCUAUUAGGAAGUCAGCCAAUUUCUGCCUAAGAUUUAAUUAUUCUUCUAACAGAACCCAAACUUCUAACACAACCCAAACUCCAAAACAUGACCACGUGGCUAAUCUGCCUAUGGUGUGCCAAGAACUUCAAGGCAGUAAAGCUUAGGAAUUUAAGUACCAGAGAACACGAAACCACAGACUAUUAAAAAAUAUAGUACAGACAGUCCCCAAGUUAAAAUCGGGUGUGUUUCAAAACUUUCUUCAUUGGCUCUUCAGAACUCAGAAUACUUUUCCCAUAAUGAUGAUAUUAUAAACUAACAAAAGGCUAAUACAUGCAUAUGUAAGAGAACUACUGUGUACUAGGAAUGAAAAAGUAUAGAAAAUUGCCAAAGUAUAAACUUUUUAAUGUUCAAAAAUAUAUUUAUGAGAAUACAUAGUGAGCACAUUUCAAAUAUUUAAACUUAAUGAGGGAACCAUUAGGAUGGUAAAGGCUGUUUAAAGAAGUAUAUGCAAGACUGGUGUAUCGAAUUAGUAAAAGAAAAGAUGCUAAAAUAAGAUUGCUAAAUUAGAUACUGGGUAGAUUAACAGCUCACCAAAGUGGUAUAAAAAUUAUUUUAAACUGAGAACAUCUUAAUCUACAAUCACCAAAAAAUAAAAAUAAAACAUUAUCUACACUUAUGCAGGUACUCCCAAAAAUACACCUGCCUUUGACACUACCCACACCCCUUCACCCAGGGAGUUUCCUGUUUCAGAAAAUACUGACACUCAGCACCAGGAAGUAUGAAUUUAGCUGCCUAUUAGCAUCAAAAAGCCAAAUAGAGCCUUUCAUACUUUCCUAUUGAUGCCCUAAACCUCCCCUCCAUUUUUGCUAAAUUGGAAUACAAACCUUUAUCUCUGGCUACUAAACAAGUUACUCAUUACUGAGUACUUCUGUAGGCACAAAAACUUUUGUUCUGUUAAUCUAUUCUUAGUUAAUCCAAAGGCCUAGACCAUUCAAACCUAAGAGGGUUAGGGGAAAGUUUUCCUCCCAACAGAGCAAAACCGGCUAAUGUCGUAAAGAGCUAUAAAAUCAUAACCUCUGGAUUAUGUUUUCUACUGAAGGGGUUCAAAACAUGCUACCCUCAAAAUAUGCCACUUGGCAUAUUGCUUAUUUCAAGCUAAAGUAAAUUAAGAAACAGCCAAUGCAGAAAAAGCUCUUCACUUCCCCCUCACCUGUUUAAAAUAAUGUAUAAACUUCCCCUUCUGUAAGGAAAAUUUACAUUUACAAAGAAAAUUUCUAUUAGUAAAGGUAUCCAUACCAGGAAGAGAACAACUCUAAGACAAUUUUUAUUGCCUGAGAGACUCUUAUCCACAUAAGAAGGUAAACUAUAUUCACCCUACAUUUCCUCCUCUCACCUUCCCAUCAUUUGCCUCCACCACUCCCCAGAAGUUCCAAAGCCCUAUUUUUUCCUAUAGCUUAUGCUGACAUAUGUCUCAGUUAUCUGGGUACUUCCUUGAGUCUCAUUUUUAGUGGGAUUCCCACGCAUAUGUCCAUAAAUUAAAGUUAUUUUUCUCCUACUAAUGUUUUUUAUGUCCAUUUAAUUCUUAGACCAGCCACAGAACAUAGAAGGGUAGAAGGGAGCAUUUUUUCCUCCCCUACACAAUCACACAGAAAUCAAUUUCAUCUCUACCAAAUGAAAAUUAUUUUCAACUCUGUAAUGAUAGAUGUUAAUUCCUAGAAUCUAGUCCUAAUCAAUAGUAAAUAGUAAUUUUAACAAAAGAAAUGACAGGAUUUUUAGGUGCUGCUUUCCAGGUGGAAAUUUCUGCGGCCGGCAGCACUCCUGCCCCAGCUUCACUCCACUCAGGGCUCACUGCUAGACUUGCCCCACAUACUCGGCCCAGCAGGCUGUGCUGUGCUCAUGCUGCCAACCUGGAUCUCACACCCAUCAAGGGCAAGCCAGGAGCACCAGCUGCUACAGCAGUAGGGGGCAACUCCAGGGGCCACCUCUGUACAAGUCUGCAGCUGGACCAGGAAUACUGCAAGUGGCCUCCACCUUGGGCACCAGCAUCUGGAUGAGAGGAACAUGGUGGUGCCUGAAAAACUCAGAGACAUCAGCAACCGUGGAACCCAAAGGGGGUGUUACAGCUCCAGCUUGGGGAGUCCUGAGGUCUGGGCUCCAGAAGGGUUGCCGCUCUUCUCUCCCAUGGACCAGAGAAUGGGAGCGUGUCAAUGCCCACAGCUCAGUGAGCCAGCCAGGAACAUGUUACAGUCUUUUUUGCACCAAUCAUUCAGCAGGUCCCAGGUUCUUGUCCUACGUUCGAGAAGAAUGAGUUAUGCAGCCAACCAGAGGGUGACCAAGGCAGAGAAGAGUUUUAUCAAAUGGCAGAAGAGCUCUCCACAGAGAGGGUUCCCAAAGUGAGUAGCCCCUACCCAAAGUUGGGUAGUCCCUCCAUGUGGCUGAGUCUGGGGUUUUUAUAGGCUCAGAAUGGGGGAGAUGUGGGCUGUAGGUACCCUUGGAAAAGGCAACAUUUGAUUGAUUAAAAGGAAGUUUUCAGAAAUAACCAAUCAGAAAAGAGCGGGCACACAGAAAUAGUUCUCGCUUAGGUUGUGGACUCUAUCUGGAACCCGGAGCCAGGUUUUCAGGCUUCAGGCUGUUUUUGGCUUGAGGGUCAGGUUUCACUGCAGACCCACCCCUGUCUGCCUAGGAAUAUGUCUGCCUCCUGCUGUUAUCAGUAACAUCAUUCUAAAGCAUCAGAUGUCCCUCAGGUCAGCUUAUUAGACAAUGCUUUUAUAUGAGUUUGAAAGGACACAACUAUCUCUACGUUUUCUAAGUCUGGAAUAGUUUUCCUUAAUGAUAAAUUUCUAAACAGUAAAAUUCAUUGAAAAAUUUUAAAAUUUAUCCUAAUUUAGCAUCUUUUAAAAUGUAGAUUAUUUAAAUAAGAUGGUUGGGGCAUCAUUAUUUUUAUUGUUUUCCUAAGUUGGGCUUAUUGAGGUACAUAUGGUAAAUUUCACCCAUUUUAAGUGUACAGUUAUGAGUUUAGGAGGUCAGGUAACCAACACCACUAUCAAGAUGUAGAAUGUUUCCAUCACCCAGAAAAGUUCCUUUGUGCCCGUUUGUAGUCAAUUCCCUCAGCUUUCUCUAGUCCGUGGUAACUACUGAUCUGUUUUCUGUUCGUAUAUUUUCUCUUUUCCAGAAUGUCACGUAAGUAGAAUCAGUUCUCAUCAAUGCCAAUUUUUGCAUUUGUGCUUUAGCUUUGGUUAGUCUAUUCAUUCUGCAAACAUAAACAUAUCAGAAAUAUGCAUAUGCAUUACACAAAUAGGCAGAAAACUAGAGGCAGCAUUUUGGUUGUUGGGUUUUUGUUCUUGUUUUUGUUUUUGCUUGAGACAAGUCUCAUUCUGUCGCUCAGGCUGCAGUGCAGUGGUGCGAUCAUAGCUCACUGCAACCUCUGCCUCCUUGGCUCAAGUGAUGCUCCCACCUUAGUCUCCUGAGUAGCUAUUACCACAGGUGCAUGCCCCCACAUCUGGCUAAUUUUUAAAUUUUUUUUGUAGAAACAAGAGUCUCACAUGUUUCCCAGGCUGGUCUCUUUCUCCUGGGCUCAAGCGAUCCUCCUGUGUCGGCCUCCCAAAGUGCUAGGGUUAUAGGCAUGAGCCACCAUGCCCAGACUAGAGGUAGCAUUUUGAACUAAUUAGUCAGAAUGCAAAUACAACUCUGUGAAAUAGCUGAAGUAUUGUCACUAAAUUUUUAUCAAUAAAAUAUAAAGAGGAUCAUCCCUAAGAAAAAAUCUAAUUUAAUAGUUGCAUAUAGCAGGGAAUACAAUUCAAGUAAUACCUGCAAUGUUAACUUAGUAAACUAAAUCUCGUUAGGAAGAUUCCCCUCCAUGACACUAUUAUGGUCACUGUCCUCUGUACAUACUGCCACGGCCACAGACACCACGUAAACCUGCCUGAUACCCUUACCAUCUUAGGCAGCAACCAUACAGCCUUCAGGGAUGAGCCCCAGGAAGAGGGCUUCCAACAUGGAAUUUCCCACCCUUGCUUUAUUACAUGGCUACUGCAGAGCCCAAUAUGAGAGAAGUCAAUCAAGUGGUACCUGAAGGCAGCAAGUACACUACAUUUUCUGAACUCUCUUGUCAUGAAUUUUUCAUUGCCUCGGUCUAAGCUAGUCCUUGUACUGGAAAAUAGGCUGCCUGGGAGACUUCCCAGAGCACUGACUAUGCCCAGAGCACUGACAUAAUGACAUAAAAGAGUGCAUUUGUAUUGACUGCCUUCCUACAGCAGGCAAAAUGGUUGUCGCAAAGUCACAUCUUUCCUUUUUCUCAGAGUUGGCAAUCUCUGAAAAGUGGUUUGUGAAGCUCGCUCCACCUAGAAGCAGGGUGAUAUAUGGGAAGAAUAUAAAGUUGAUGGUCACUCCUCUAUGUUCAAAUCCUGUCCGACUUUAUAAACUUGCUCAAAUUACUCCUUGAGUUUGUUUUCCUGAAUGAAAAAUGGGGAUGCUAAACACAGUAAACCGUUUGCAGAAAUGGCCACAGUAAUUCUUACCAGCCCUGUACAUGUGCCCACUUAAAUGUGAAUUUGCCACUCCUUUUAUAUUGAAGUGGAAUUUAUUUUUUUAUUCCUUAAAUCUAAACUUCAAUUUGGGCUUGAAUAGGGCAUUAUCAAAUGUAAUGCAAGCAGAGGAUUGAAAAAUAUGUACACAUUGGAGCUUGAGUUGUCUUGCUGUUAGAAACCCUGAGACCACCAUGUGAAGAAUUAUCAGCUAGUCUUCCAGAGAAUGGGAGGUUAUACAGAGAGAAGUCAGCCAUUUAAGCCAUUUUAGCUGCCUCAAAAGUCCCAGCCUUCCCAAACAUCCCAGCCAACCAUAGAUACCCAAAAGCUAGAUAAAAUGUUUAUUUUAAGCCACUGUGUUUGGAGUGAUUUAUUACAUAGCAAAAGCUGAUACAAUAAAAUAAUGAUUACUAAUGUGCAUAAAACGUGUUACAUGGUGUUAGUUCAAUAAAUGACUACACAAAUAAAUAUUAAGUGACUUAGUACAAUUUAAGCUUGUUGUAGAAAAGGAAAAAUUAUCUCUACCACUGAAAAUAUUUCCUAUCACAUAAUAGCCUCCUAAUAAUUUUUUGAAUACAUUGACAGAGACUAGUUGCCAUUCUUUCUCACAGCACAGAAUUGCUUUAAUGUAAUGAAGAAUAUAUUUCAAGAUCUCUCAAGGGCCUGUAGGGUAAAGAAGGAAAGCUUCACCUUUGCCCUCUGAAGGUUUGCUGAAAAUAAACUGACAAAAGGCAGAUUAAUAGGAGAAAAAGUCAUAAAAAAUGUAUUUAAUGUGCAUAAGCAUGGGAGAAUCACAGGAAAAUGAUUGCCCAAUAAUCCAAUGAGGUCCGGAUGCUUAUAUAGCCUUCUUCAUACAGCACGGAGUAAAUAACAAAGUUCCUUUGAGCUCGGAGGGAGGUGGUGAGAAGGCAAGGGGCAGAACUUCACAGUGAACAAAGGAUAGAAAAAGAUUAUAAAGUAUCACCAAAGUUCUGAAAUGGAAGUCUUAAUGGAAAGGACUGCUUCUUUACCCAGGAAGAGGCCGCUGCCUUGUUUUGAGCUGCCCUAUGGAGAGUCUCAGUGGCGAGGAAUUGAGGACAGACUUCUGUACGGACCUGAGGUCAUCAUUCCAACAACACAUGAAGAGCUGAAUCCUGACAACAACUUCAUUGGUAAGCUUGGAAGUGGAUUUUCCCCCAAACAGGCCUUGAGGUGACCACAGCCCUGGCUGACUGCAGCCUUGUGAAAUACCCUGAGACAGAAGACCCAGCUCAGCCACACCUGAACUCCUGACCCACAGAACCUGCUAUAAUAAAUGUUGUUUUGGCUAUUACGUUUUGGAGUGAUUUAUUAUUAGAUAACUAAUACGUAUGCAUUUGGGAAAGUAAAGGCCUAAGAGUAUAUGGAAGUGGAAUUGUUUGGCCAUAAUCUAUGCAUACGUUCAGCUUUAAUAUAUACCACUAAAUUGUUUUCAAAAGCAGUCAUUGUCAUGUACACUCCCAACAGCAGUGUGUGAGAGUUUUUAUUGAGUUCUACUGAAUGAUCUUUGUUAUUAAGCUUUUAGUAUAUGCCAGCCACUAAGUGCCUUACAUGUGCUGUUUCAUUUAAUCUUCACAACAGUUCAGUGAGGUGGGUAUUACUGUUUUCUCCAUUUUCAGAUUAAGUGAACCUGCCCCUGUCAUUUACUAAAAAGAGGCAAGCCAGGAUUUUAACCCAUGUCCAAUGCUCUUAGCCAUUAAGCCUCUCCUGAGACAGAUUUCAAUGCAAUUAUAGCCACAGAGAAAACACAUGUGAAAAAUAACCAUCAUAGCGCACUAAAGGAAGAGCAGCAUUUCAUCUUGUGCAUAAGUUAACCAUCAGCACUGCACAGGGCUGAUGAGGAGAAGAGGCUUCCAGACGGAGUUAGCAAAGGAAGAAAGAUAGGCAAUUUGGAAGGAGGGAAAGGAUGGCCCAGGAAGGCUGGGAGGUAAAGAAUAUGCAAGCAAGGUCAAGAGCUCUAUGCAUUUGGCUCACUCUGCCCUCUGCAUUUCCAGCCUCAUGCAGCGAUGUCAUCCUUAGCAGUGAGUUGUCUACUUUUUCCGUAGCUCUCCCCAGAAUAACACAGACCCCAGGGUCUUAAAUGAAGGAGUGAUUUUUCCAGAUAUUUCACCUUUCCCAAGGGAGAACACUACUCAGUUGUCUCUCCUUGGAACUCCUUCUUUUGCUGUUUAUUGUUUCUGAGUGUGAUUUUUUCCUUUCUUCCUCAUUCCGCUGGUGCUUGUCACCACUCUGAUGGGAAUUCCUCUUAAAAUGCCGGCAGUCUCUUUGAUAAGCCUCGCCUUGCAGACCUAAGGUAAACUCCUGGAAGGAUGCCCUGAACCUCUGGCUGUCUACCCACCUUCCACAACCCACAAAUGGAGUGUUUCUGUGUACA